rnacentral:rRNA from 1 species
ACGAAGCGGUGACGUGGAGCAAACCNCAGAAAGCCAAUCUCAGUUCGGAUUGUAGGCUGCAACUCGCCUACAUGAAGUUGGAAUCGCUAGUAAUCGCGAAUCAGAAUGUCGCGGUGAAUACGUUCCCGGGCCUUGUACACACCGCCCGUCACACCAUGAGAGUCGGUAACACCCGAAGCCUGUAGUCUAACCGCAAGGAGGACGCAGUCGAAGGUGGGAUUGAUGACUGGGGUGAAGUCGUAACAAGGUACC